rnacentral:rRNA from 1 species
UACGUAGGGUGCAAGCGUUGUCCGGAAUUAUUGGGCGUAAAGAGCUCGUAGGCGGUUUGUCGCGUCUGCUGUGAAAAUCCGAGGCUCAACCUCGGACUUGCAGUGGGUACGGGCAGACUAGAGUGUGGUAGGGGAGACUGGAAUUCCUGGUGUAGCGGUGGAAUGCGCAGAUAUCAGGAGGAACACCGAUGGCGAAGGCAGGUCUCUGGGCCACUACUGACGCUGGAGAAGCGAAGGCCAUGGGGAGCGAACAGG